GGGCUUCAGGAAACAAUUUUUCCUACGAUUAAAAUAGGAUGAAAGUGAACAGAUGGACGAUAAGCAGAGAACCAUAAAAGCAUUGAUGCCAUGGCUGCAACUAUGAGCAAGUGCCACAGCACUGGUCCCACAAUUUGCUAAACAAAAGGCAAAAAUAAGAAUCAAGCCAAUAGAAAACAGCAAAUGUUCACACUUUUGUCAGGUAUGUGACAUCAAACUCCAUUUUCUUUUGGCAAGAUGCUGAAACCUUUUGUGCCAGCUGUAUCAAGUUUUUAGCUUUGAAUAAGACCUGAUGCAUGACAUCUUGCCCCCUUUUUUUUUUUUUUUUUUUUGUUUUGGUCUGUUUCACAACUGUUCAAGGGCUUUAUCUGCAUCAACUAGGUGGGCUGUAAAGAGGUGCUUCCUUGCAUUAUUCCAUGGGCAGUACUGUUUGAGUGCCGAUAAUAUAUAUCUGAAGAAAGUGUCAUGGUUUGGUCUAAUAGGGAAUUUGAUUUGUUAAGUUGGUGAUGCAGCACCAAAUCGAACUUUGAACCAUCCAGAAACUUGAAAUGAAAUUAAUGAAAUAAAGAAGGAAAAAAUCUCACCCAGAAGAAAAAUUCUCUUAUACAAAGAAGUAAAAUUGGAAAUUGUAUUAAUUCAAAGAUAAUUAAAAUAUUUGACUCUACUAUAGACUUCUCUUAGAUUUAAUUGAACAACAAAUAUAGAAAUAAAUAUUCUAAAUAAAAGAACUCCAUUUCCUUUUGGCAAGAUGCUGAAACUUUUUGUGCUAGCUGUAUCAAGUUUUUAGCCUUUGAUUAAGACCAGAUGCAUGACAUCUUGCUCUUUUUUUUCUUUGCUCAAACCUUCUGUUAUGCUAUACUUCAUAUCCUGAAUGUUCUUUUCAUUUACAUCGUUAACUCAUUUUUGAUGAAAGAUAAGUACUUAACGGGGUGCAUAAGCUUAAUGUGGAAAUUCUGGUGAAUGAAUUUUUGGGCCGUAACAUUGUUAUAUCCUUAAUGUUCUUUUCAUUUACAUUGUUAACUCAUUUUCAUGAAGGAUAAGUACUUAACGGGGUGCAUAAGCUUUAUGUGAAAAUUCUGGUGAAUGAAUAUUUGGACCUUAACAUUGCCAUAGAGAGAAUAGAUCCUGUUCAUAAAUUGUCAUCUGGUAGAAGGAUUGAAUGAGCAUCUACAACUUUUGUGUUAAUUAGCUUGACUCAGUGUGAUAUUUAUUUUCCUCCUAAACACUCUCAUUCUUUUAAUCUUCUCAUGUGCUUUGUUCAUCUGCUACUGUUGCUAUUGCUGAAAGAGCAUUGAUGCCAAGGCUGCAACUAUGAGCAAGUGCCACAGCACAGACUCCACAAUUUGCUAAACAAGAGGCAAAAAUAAGAAUCAAACCAAUUUAAUAAAGCUCCACUUUUGACCGGGGCUUUAUCUGCAUCAACUAGGUGGGCUGUAAAGAGUGCUUCCUUGCAUUAUUCCAUGGGUAACUACUGUUUGACUGGGAU